rnacentral:tRNA from 1 species
GCCCCGUUAGCUCAGUUGGAUAGAGCGCUGGAUUCCUAAUCCGGAGGUCUCAGGUUCAAAUCCUGAACGGGGCACCA